GCUGUGUGUGGCCAUCCAAUGUCACAAUGAAGUUCUAAUCCCCACUUCAUUAGGGCAACAAAGAGGCUGAGCAGCUGAGCUCUCACAUUCCUUUUUUAGUUAUUUAUUUAUUUAUUCAUUCAUUCCCUUCCUUCCUUCCUUCCUUUUCCCAGUGCUGGGAAUAGAACUUCAGGCCUUGUGUAUGUUGAUUAAGUGCUCCACCACUGAGCUAUGAUUCCGGCCCUGAGGGUCCUUGUUCUGAUAUCUUGUGGUUUAGAGUACACAGAGCUAUGACUCUACCGGAUACAUCGUGACAUCUACAUCAACUUGCUCAUCAAAACAAGACCUGUACAGAGACACACUGUUGCCUGGACCAAACGUCUGCAUAGACCACCAUUACCCAGUUCCAGAUGGCCGAGAAGAUAAAGGAUUGACGUGUUUCAAGUAUUCGACCGGUUACAAAUUGUUUCAAAACGUUCCUCAUUCUGUACCACAACCCACAACAGUGACGCAUGCGGAUGAGGUGGUAGAGAAGCAUCUGCCUGGAGUCUGAACAAGAUGAGUAAACACCGAUGCCUGUGAGCCUCCGAAUCCCACGGCCCAGGGUGUGGCCUCUAUGGCCUUGGCCAAAGGUAACUCAGUAAGGUCAGCCUCUCCUCUCGCCAAGGACUUCUUUGCUGCCAGACCUUCCGAGCCUACUCAGAACACCUGAGAAUGAUGCCCACCUCCCCACCCCCAAUUGUCUGUAUCCUGUGGCUUUCUGUGUGGUUUAAAACAGUCAGCCCACCCUGUAUCUCAUUAGGGUUUGUUUUGAAGCAGGAUCUCAAACUAGAGACCCUUCUGGCUCCCAGCACGAGGUGUCAGGACCACAGGCAGGAGCUACUGUAGACGUGCCAGUGUGUAUUAUGCACCGCUCGCUCCUACCUUUCUUUACCCGCCACACUUUCUGCCAUAUUCACAGGGUGUUAGGAGCCUUUUGGCAAUGAUCAGACACUCGUGACCAUAACAUUUCAGGGCUGCAAAUGACCCAGGCCUUUGUGCUUGCUCACUGCCUACUCCCUCGAGAGGUCCCGAGGACCACUGAUGCAGAGGUGCCUCAUUAGUCACUGGGAGCCAGUAGACCAGCUGGAACUGAAAACAGACUCUUCCAAGAAAAGCCUGGGUUUUCCCCUUAGGCGUGCUGGGGUGCAGAGGAGGCCCACAGGACCUAGCGACCGCCUUAGCAUUCCAGCCCGCUGGACAGGCACGCAUUUCUUCCUCAAGAGGGCGCCGGCUGCCUGCGUCUAAGCUGUUGGCAAAUGGAUUCAGAGGACGGGAGUGACCUCUGGCCCAAGCACAGGGUUUCAAAAGCACCGGGGACAUUCCAGCCACAUCAAGAUUGGGAUACCAGUUCCGUAGAUCCCAUAAGUUCCGUGUUUCUGGACAGUUGAGGACUCUUUGCUUUAGCAUCUUUCAGGAAGUUGAGACCUUUUCAGCCUCUGCGCGGUCGGCGUUUUGGACUUAGAUGAGGAGGGGAUCCUUUUCGGAGGAGCACAGCAGCCUCGCCCUGCACCCCGACAAGGACGUGCCAGGGCUCACCCCGCCUCUCCUUCAACGCUAGGAUGGGUGGAGAUCCGUCGUCCAGUGAUGUAAGGGAGACUCUUGUGGCCCUCAAAAACUCGGAAACCAAGCUGGAAGGCUAUUUCUGAGCAUACCCCAGACCCAAGACAGAAUUCGUGAAUGUUCUACACAGGAUAUCACGAUUUCUGUCCUGUAAACUUUUCUUCCAGGGAAUUUUUUUUUCUCUUAUUUGUUUUAUCAUCUCCAAAUGGUGAUCGUUUGAGAAUUAUGUGGUGUUUAUCCUCCUGGCUAUAAACUCUAAACCAGUGCAGGGGCUCCACCCCCCACUCCACCCCCCCCAGCCUGCAUAGUUCCUAUUUCUCAGGAGCCAUUUAUCUCCCUUUUAUUGUUGUUUUCUUCAUUGGCUUCCCCCUCAGCCAGACAGGCUUAAUAACUGGCAGUCAUCACGUACAGCAGAGUGGUGGCAGCCACCCCCGCAAAGGGGACCCAGUCGUUUCCCAGAGCCAGAAUGCUCUGUAGCCACGGCCUCUAUUGUUUUCUUAGCAGACUCCGGUUUUGUUUCUUGGCUCUCCUUGAAUGAAGAAACUCUUAAAACAUCAUGUGUCUG